CGGUGGAUCGCUCGGCUCGUGGAUCGAUGAAGAACGCAGCAAACUGCGCGUCGAAGUGUGAACUGCAGGACACAUGAACAUCGACGUUUCUAACGCACAUUGCGGCCCA
rnacentral:rRNA from 1 species